UACGGGGGGGGCAAGCGUUGUUCGGAAUUACUGGGCGUAAAGGGCUCGUAGGCGGCCAACUAAGUCGGACGUGAAAUCCCCCGGCUUAACCUGGGAACUGCGUCUGAUACUGGAAGGCUCGAGUUUGGGAGAGGGAUGUGGAAUUCCACGUGUAGCAGUGAAAUGCGUAGAGAUGUGGAGGAAUACCGAUGGCGAAGGCAGCCCCCUGGGAUAACACUGACGCUCAUGCACGAAAGCGUGGGGAGCAAACAGG
rnacentral:rRNA from 1 species